rnacentral:rRNA from 1 species
CGGGAUUAGAUACCCCGGUAGUCCUAGCCCUAAACGAUGGGUACUAGUUAGUAGACUUAACAUGGGUUACUGCCGAAGCAAAAGUGCUAAGUACCCCGCCUGGGGAGUAUGGUCGCAAGGCUGANACUCAAAGGAAUUGACGGGGGCUCACACAAGCGGUGGAGCAUGUGGCUUAAUUCGAGGCUACGCGAAGAACCUUAUCCUGGGCUUGACAUGUGCGAAAGCGUUAGCAAGUAGGGAGCGGAAACGUUUCCCCAACGGUAUCCAGUCCGGAAGCUAAUACAGGUGCUGCAUGGCUGUCGUCAGCUCGUGUCGUGAGAUGUCGGGUUAAGUCCCAUAACGAGCGAAACCCUUGUUUCCAGUUGCCAGCGGGUCAUGCCGGGGACUCUGGAAAGACUGCCGGUGUUAAACCGAGGAAGGUGGGGAUGACGUCAGUCUCAUGGCCUUUAUGCCCAGGGCUGCACACGUGCUACAAUGGCGUGAACAAAGGGACGCAAACCCGCGAGGGGGAGCAAAUCCCAAAAAACACGCCCCAGUUCAGAUCGAAGGCUGCAACUCGCCUUCGUGAAGCCGGAAUCGCUAGUAAUCGCGGGUCAGCAAUACCGCGGUGAUGUGUUCCUGAGCNUUACUCACCGCCCGUCAG